rnacentral:rRNA from 1 species
UACGAAGGGAGCUAGCGUUGUUCGGAAUCACUGGGCGUAAAGCGCACGUAGGCGGAUGUGUCAGUCAGGGGUGAAACCCCGGAGCUCAACUUCGGAACUGCCCUUGAUACAGCACGUCUCGAGUCCGAGAGAGGUGAGUGGAAUUCCUAGUGUAGAGGUGAAAUUCGUAGAUAUUAGGAAGAACACCGGUGGCGAAGGCGGCUCACUGGCUCGGUACUGACGCUGAGGUGCGAAAGCGUGGGGAGCAAACAGG